UACGGAGGGUGCGAGCGUUGUUCGGAAUCACUGGGCGUAAAGCGCGUGUAGGCGGCCUGCUAAGUCUGAUGUGAAAGCCCGGGGCUCACCCUCGGAAGUGCAUUGGAAACUGGCAGACUGGAGUCCCGGAGAGGAGGGUGGAAUUCCUGGUGUAGCGGUGAAAUGCGUAGAUAUCAGGAGGAACACCGGUGGCGAAGGCGGCCCUCUGGACGGUGACUGACGCUGAGACGCGAAAGCGUGGGGAGCAAACAGG
rnacentral:rRNA from 1 species